ACCAAACUCCGAUGGAUAAUUUGUUGGUGUUAGAGAACUGUAUUAAAGACUCUAAGAUGUUGCCUCGUCCACCACGAGCAAGAAGGAGUGAUAUGAUCAAUGAGACCGUUUCCGUGGUGGGAGUAGUGACACAGGCGCUCCACGUGGUCUGAAGUGGGCUCCGUCCUAAGGAAGGGUCCCGAACUGAGGUCUGCAAGCAGGCGGUGCUGACGCAGGCCCCGAGCCGGUGCGAAUGCCCAGGACACUCCUCGAAUCCAUGGCCACCCGCGAGCAGCCUGGAGCCUGCCUCGCCCGCCACCCACAGGGUGCUCAUCGCGACCUUGACAACAGCCUCUCCCAGCUGACACCCGCCCCUUGCCGUGGGCACCGCGCUUCUCCGCAGCUCUCCAGAGCCUUCUGUCCAAAACCAGUAGGUCAACAAAAAGGAGUCGUCUGGUUUUGCUGUCUGAGCAACUCUGCGUGUCCGGUCAUCAGCAUGACUUUCUAAUUAGAGCCCCUUCCAAGUUGACAAGUCAUAACUUCACCCCCUGCCUGAAACCACGGAAUUAUUAACUUUAGCAGAUGUCUCAAGAAUGGCAUGUCACAAACACAGGUACACAGAGAAAUGACGCAUGUUCAUGGGACCUAAAGCUUUGAUUCAAGUGUUUCUGCAAAGCUGAAUGGACCGGAGCCAUCAAUAUCAUCUGGGAAAUCAUAUUUCUCAGGGCUGCAAGGGCUCACACAGCUUACUUGAAGCCGAAAUUAAAACAGAAUGAUGCUAAGGGCGAGGCAGCCAGAUAGACAAAUGUUCCAGUUCUACCUACACUGCAUACUAACUGUGUGUCGUGGGCAAGUUUUCUGAGCCUCAGUUUUUUUGUCUGCAAAAUGGAGCAAAUGAUACAGCCCCUCAAUGUCUUACCUACCAUUCCCGAACCUAAGAGCAAUAACAACUGGCGUCCUUUUCUUAAGUCAUUUGACAGUGAAAUCUAAUUGAUCUUAAUUAAUUUGGUGGUAAAACCCUUCCCUGGACUCUUAUGCACCGCUUUAUGGUCUGAAUUUAUUUUAUUUGAUGUGAACAUGCACGUUUUGCUACAGAAUCAUGAAUGUGUUAGUUAUAGGGUAUAGCCUCAGACCACUGGGUACAUAAUAUUAGAUGUUUGGUGCACUUGUUGUGAUGAGCUCUGAGUGGUCUAUGGAAUUGUUGAAUCGCUAUACUGUCCACCUGAAACUAAUAUUAUACUGUAUGUUAACCAACUGGAAUUAAAAUAAAAAAACUUAAAAAGCCA
rnacentral:lncRNA from 12 species